rnacentral:rRNA from 1 species
GACGAACCGUGCGAACGUUAUUCGGAAUCACUGGGCUUAAAGCGCGUGUAGGCGGGUCAGCACGUCGGGCGCUGAAAUCCCCCGGCUCAACCGGGGAACGGGCACCGAUACGACUGGCCUGGAGGGGAGUAGGGGGACCUGGAACUUCCGGUGGAGCGGUGAAAUGCGUUGAGAUCGGAAGGAACGCCCGUGGCGAAAGCGAGGUCCUGGGCUCUUACUGACGCUGAGACGCGAAAGCCAGGGGAGCGAACGG